rnacentral:rRNA from 1 species
AGCAGCCGCGGUAAUUCCAGCUCCAAUAGCGUAUAUUAAAGUUGUUGCAGUUAAAAAGCUCGUAGUUGAAUUUCGGGAUCAAAUUGUCGGUCGUGCCUCGGUACGUACUGGUAUUAUUGGUUCCUCCCUUCUGACGAACCACGAUGUCAUUAAUUUGGUGUCAUGGGAAAUCAGGACUGUUACUUUGAAAAAAAUUAGAGUGUUUAAAGCAGGCUCGCGCUUGAAUACAUUAGCAUGGAAUAAUGAAAUAGGACGUUUGAUUCUAUUUUGUUGGUUUCUAGGAUCGACGUAAUGAUUAAUAGGGAUAGUUGGGGGCAUUAGUAUUCAAUUGUCAGAGGUGAAAUUCUUGGAUUUAUUGAAGACUAACUACUGCGAAAGCAUUUGCCAAGGAUGUUUUCAUUAAUCAAGAACGAAAGUUAGGGAUCGAAGACGAUCAGAUACCGUCGUAGUCUUAACCAUAAACUAUGCCGACUAGGGAUCGGAUGAUGUUAAUUUUUAAUGUACUCAUUCGGCGCCUUAC